GUUUGGCCGCUGUUCCUGAGGGGGUUUUCCUUUGAAAGCGACGCGAGGAGGAAUUCUUCCCUUCGUGGACUGUUCCUGUUUGGAAUAGUUUGUUGAUCCCUGUCAGAAAGCCGCGGGUGAGCCGCUAGCGCCCUGUGUGCCGCGGGCUGAUCGCCACAGGCGAGGAUUAACCGGUUGCCCAGUCGUUCUAAAGAGCCGGUUUACCUCAUCAACCUGAGAGAGGAUGCUAGGAAAGCAAAACGCUUCACCGCUUCAGUUAACAACAACAACAGCAGCAAAAAAAAUAAGAGCCUGUUUUGGGGUUCUUUUAAGUGCUCCAGGUUUAAUUUUCCGUGUUUCUGUCUGAUGCGGUCCCAAGAGCCAUCUCCUCAGACAGUUUCUUUUCUUCUCCCUUGAGCCAGGGCCUCUUUCUCAUUGAGAUCUUUAAUUGUGGACGUUAUUCCCACACAAGCCACUCUUAGGUCUAAAUCUUCUAUUUUCUACCUCCCAGUCCUACCCAUUCACUCUUAUCACAGCCCUUGGUGGUUAAAUGCUCCCAGGCCUGGGAAGGUCUCUGUCUUUCCCAGAUUUGACUCCGCUCUUGCUCCAUUGAAUCUUCUCCUUGUGCAGGAGAUGUUGCUCAAACACACAAGACCCUGAAUUUCUCCCUUUCCUAAACAUGGGCUGAAACAUCAUUAGAUUUGGGGGUUUAAUUUAAUUCCUAUCAGCAGCACUUUUUCUAUGCCUUUAGUUUUGCCCAGCCUGGUGCCGACGGUUGUUUUGGUGCUCACCCAGACUGCCCUUCCACUCCAGCAUCCAUAGUUACCUCUGCUGGUUCCGACACAAGUUGCUCCUCCAGCUGAGGUGGGAUGCAAGCAAGAACUUGGACACUUCCAAGUCAGGAAUUGGAAACCCAGAGGCAGAUGCAACAUGGGCAGCACAAGCGUCCUCAAACUGCCCUGCCAACGUGCUUCAAUUCUGAAUGAGGAGGACCAGCUUUCCGGGUGAGAACGAAGGCUGUCUCUAUUCAGCCCCCGACCCCUCUGCUCAAGGCUCUUAAUGAAGGGGCCUCAUUAACACCAAAGAUAAAUCACUCCGCCUUGAAAAGUUUCCAGCCUGCGAGCCAAGCCCUGCAAUGUAAAUCUGUAACAGCAGGAGGCAACUCGGCACAGCAGAACAGGUAAGAAACCACAGCCACUCUGCCAGCCUCUUCAGAGGACCCAGCCUCAUGACAUGUCAUGCAGCAAGGCCUGGAGAGCAAGAGUGUGUCUCUGCCACCAGCCUUUCAGCAAGCAGAGGAGGCUCCAGGUUGCACAUGGCCAUUGGAGCAGAGCUGGGUAGGAACACUGCAGGUGGAAGACGGGGUAGAACACCGCAGGACCUGGGCCAGCAGAGCUUCUUUUGGGCUGUCACACAGGAGGAUUUCUCUAUGAAUGUCUCUGCGUGGGUCAGAGAGAGCUUUGUCCACCCUGUUUUGGGGAGGACUGGCUGCUAACAGGGGAUGUGGUGCAGUCAGGGGGAAGAAAGGGGCUCCGUGCAAGUCCGUGUCCAUAGCUUUAAUGCACAGCUCUCCUGAGCAAGACCACAUACAUCAAUAAAUAGAAUUAAUAAUAAUAAU